UUCAAAUUGUUUAUACUUUUUCUCAAAUACAAAUAUUUCAAGCUGAUAAGCACUGUGGAGUUGGCAUGUUACUGAUAUUGUUACAUUAGUACUUUGUUUGAGAAGCUUCAUGUCUGCAUUGAGCCUAAAUUUAACAGUUUUUGAAGGGUUUAGUUCUUUGUUUUAUUUCUGUGUCACUGACUUUUUUCAUUUUUAUGUGUGGAUUUGUUAGGCGCAUCAACACAUGAUAUAGACAUCGUGCCCAAAAGAAGAGCGAGAUGUAAUCCUGAGGCUGAAGCCACCGAGUUUAUGUGAUCUGGAUGUGACAAGUCUUGUUUUAAGGCCCAGUGGAUCAAUGAUUGGAAAGACACCAACUGUUGAUGUUCUAUCUCAACAUUCUCCAGAUUCAUGUGAGCGAUAAACCGACUUCAUCCCUCCAACAGACACCAACUGUUGGGGUUCUAUCUCAACAUUCUCCAGAUUCAGAUGUGAGCGAUAAACCGACUUCAUCCCUCCAACAGAAACCAACUGUUGAGGUUCCAUCUCAACAUUCUCCAGAUUCAGAUGUGAGCCAUUAACUGACUUCAUCCCUCCAACAGAAACCAACUGUUGAGGUUCUAUCUUAACAUUCUCUAAAUUCAGAUGACAGCCAUAAACCGACUUCAUCCCUCCAACAGAUUGACAGCAGGACAAAUCGCUGGAAGUGGGUAUGUCUCAAGCUUCUUCCACUUGGUCCACUCCAAAGCGGGCUGCAAAGGGGAAGAAGUGGAAGCAGUUGAAUGACACAUGUUGCAUUUUGUAACUGGCAACAAAGUACCAGGUAAAAAAGAUUGUGAAGCCUCCCUCCAUAAAGAACUAGUAACUCUACAGGACAGAGAUUGGCUUGACAUCAAGUACUACAUCCAUAACAGAAUUAUAUUUAAAAAAGGAAAAAAAAAUGUUUUCCCACAUCUUCUGUGGUAGUUUGAGUAUGUUACCAGCAAUUAAAAAAGCAAAAUAAACAGCAAGUGUUUUGUAUUUAUUCCAGAUAAUUCUUAG